rnacentral:rRNA from 1 species
GUCCUCCUAUUUUCAGUUGGUUUUGGCAGCGCGAGGACUAGGGUAAUGAUUAAUAGGGAUAGUUGGGGGCAUUAAUAUUUAAUUGUCAGAGGUGAAAUUCUUGGAUUUAUGAAAGAUUAACUUCUGCGAAAGCAUCUGCCAAGGAUGUUUUCAUUAAUCAAGAACGAAAGUUAGGGGAUCGAAGACGAUCAGAUACCGUCGUAGUCUUAACCAUAAACGAUGCCGACCAGCGAUUAGGAGACGUUGAAUACAAAACACCACCAUCGGUGCGGUCGUCCUUGGCGUCGGUCUUUCGGGGCCGGCGCGGGGACGGCUUAGCCCGGUGGCACCGGUGAAUGACUCCCUAG